AAGAGACAGCAGCCGCCGCGGGAAUACGUAGGGUGCAAGCGUUAAUCGGAAUUACUGGGCGUAAAGCGUGCGCAGGCGGUUCGCUAAGACAGAUGCGAAAUCCCCGGGCUUAACCUGGGAACUGCAUUUGUGACUGGCGGGCUAGAGUAUGGCAGAGGGGGGUAGAAUUCCACGUGUAGCAGUGAAAUGCGUAGAGAUGUGGAGGAAUACCGAUGGCGAAGGCAGCCCCCUGGGCCAAUACUGACGCUCAUGCACGAAAGCGUGGGGAGCAAACAGGAUUAGAUACCCCCGUAGUCCCUGUCUCUUAUAC
rnacentral:rRNA from 1 species